rnacentral:rRNA from 1 species
GUUUACCAAAAACAUGGCUUCUUGAAACAGAACAAUAAGGAGUCGGACCUGCCCAGUGAAUAUUUUUAAACGGCCGCGGUACUCUGACCGUGCAAAGGUAGCAUAAUCAUUUGCCCUAUAAUUGAGGGCUAGUAUGAAUGGUUUGACAAGAGUAUUACUGUCUCCUAAUAAUUAUAUAGAAUUUUAUUUUUAGGUGAAGAAGCCUAAAUAUAAUUAAAAGACAAGAAGACCCUAUCGAGCUUUAAAUAAAUUAAUAAAUUGAAUGAAAUAUUUUAAACUAAAACAAUGUUUAUUAAAAAUUUUAGUUGGGGCGACAAAGGAACAAAACAAGCUUCCUCAAUGAUAAAUAUAAACUAAUUAGUGAUGAUCCAAAAACUUUGAUUAAUAGAAUUAGUUACCGUAGGGAUAACAGCAUUAUCUUUUUUAAGAGCUCAUAUCGAAAAAAAGGUUUGUGACCUCGAUGUUGGACCAGAAUAUCCUAAAGAUGCAGAAGUCUUUAAGGGUUGGUCUGUUCGACCAUUAAAAUUCUACGUGAUCUGAGUUCAGACCGG